rnacentral:rRNA from 1 species
UAACCUGCCUUAUAGUGGGGGAUAGCCUUUCGAAAGGAAGAUUAAUACCGCAUAAGAUUGUAGUAUCGCAUGAUAUAGCAAUUAAAGGAGCAAUUCGCUAUAAGAUGGACCCGCGUCGCAUUAGCUAGUUGGUGAGGUAAUGGCUCACCAAGGCGACGAUCCCUAGCUGGUCUGAGAGGAUGACCAGCCACACUGGAACUGAGACACGGUCCAGACUCCUACGGGAGGCAGCAUG